rnacentral:rRNA from 1 species
GACGAACGCUGGCGGCGUGCUUAACACAUGCAAGUCGAACGGUAAGGCCCUUCGGGGUACACGAGUGGCGAACGGGUGAGUAACAGGUGGGUGAUCUGCCCUGCACUUCGGGAUAAACCUGGGACACUGGGUCUAAUACCGGAUAGGACGACGGCCUGCAUGGGUGGUGGUGGAAAGCUCUUGCGGUGGGGGAUGGGCCCGCGGCCUAUCAGCUUGUUGGUGGGGUGAUGGCCUACCAAGGCGACGACGGGUAGCCGGCCUGAGAGGGUGACCGGCCACACUGGGACUGAGAUACGGCCCAGACUCGUACGGGAGGCAGCAGUGGGGAAUAUUGCACAAUGGGCGCAAGGCUGAUGCAGCGACGCCGCGUGAGGGAUGACGGCCUUCGGGUUGUAAACCUCUUUCAGCACCGACGAAGCGCAAGUGACGGUAGGUGCAGAAGGAGGACCGGCCAACUACGUGCCAGCAGCCGCGGUAA